UGGACUUUAUUUGCGCAGCAUAGGUGGGAAGCUUUGAAGAUAUUUUUGCGGAAAUAUUGGAGCUAUCAGUGAGAUACCACUCUUGUAAUGUUAGAUUUCUAACUUUGUACCAUUAGCUGGUCAAAGAACAGUUUCAGGCGGGCAGUUUGACUGGGGCGGUCGCCUCCUAAACGGUAACGGAGGCGUACAAAGGUUUCCUCAGAUCGGUCAGAAAUCGAUCGUAGAGUGUAAAGGCAGAAGGAAGCUUGACUGUGAGACCUACAAGUCGAGCAGGGACGAAAGUCGGUCUUAGUGAUCUGACGGUACUGAGUGGGAAGGCCGUCACUCAACGGAUAAAAGUUACUCUAGGGAUAACA
rnacentral:rRNA from 1 species